rnacentral:rRNA from 1 species
GGAAUAUUGCACAAUGGGGGAAACCCUGAUGCAGCGACGCCGCGUGAGUGAAGAAGUAUUUCGGUAUGUAAAGCUCUAUCAGCAGGGAAGAAAAUGACGGUACCUGACUAAGAAGCCCCGGCUAACUACGUGCCAGCAGCCGCGGUAAUACGUAGGGGGCAAGCGUUAUCCGGAUUUACUGGGUGUAAAGGGAGCGUAGGUGGUAUGGCAAGUCAGAAGUGAAAACCCAAGGCUUAACCAUGGGAAUGCUUUUGAAACUGUCGUACUAGAGUGCUGGAGGGGUAAGUGGAAUUCCUAGUGUAGCGGUGAAAUGCGUAGAUAUUAGGAGGAACACCGGUGGCGAAGGCGGCUUACUGGACAGUAACUGACACUGAGGCUCGAAAGCGUGGGGAGCAAACAGG